CCUACGGGAUGCUGCAGUGAGGAAUAUUGGUCAAUGGACGAGAGUCUGAACCAGCCAAGUAGCGUGAAGGAUGACUGCCCUAUGGGUUGUAAACUUCUUUUAUAAAGGAAUACAACGAGGCACGUGUGCCUUUUUGCAUGUACUUUAUGAAUAAGGAUCGGCUAACUCCGUGCCAGCAGCCGCGGUAAUACGGAGGAUCCGAGCGUUAUCCGGAUUUAUUGGGUUUAAAGGGGGCGUAGAUGGGUUGUUAAGUCAGUUGUGAAAGUUUGCGGCUCAACCGUAAAAUUGCAAUUGAUACUGGCAGUCUUGAGUACAGUUGAGGUAUGCGGAAUUCGUGGUGUAGCGGUGAAAUGCUUAGAUAUCACGAAGAACCCCGAUUGCGAAGGCAGCUUACUAAACUGUGACUGACAUUGAUGCUCGAAAGUGUGGGUAUCGAACAGGAUUAGAUACCCCUGUAGUC
rnacentral:rRNA from 1 species